UGUCACUGCAGGAUGGGCCCGCGGCGCAUUAGCUAGUUGGUGAGGUAACGGGCUUACCAAGGCGACGAUGCGUAGCCGACCUGAGAGGGUGACCGGCCACACUGGGGACUGAGACACGGCCCAGACUCCUACGGGAGGCAGCAGUAGGGAAUCUUCCGCAAUGGACGAAAGUCUGACGGAGCAACGCCGCGUGAGCGAAGAAGGUCUUAGGAUCGUAAAGCUCUGUUGUCAGGGAAGAACAAGUGCCGUUCGAACAGGGCGGUACCUUGACGGUACCUGACGAGGAAGCCACGGCUAACUACGUGCCAGCAGCCGCGGUAAUACGUAGGUGGCAAGCGUUGUCCGGAAUUAUUGGGCGUAAAGCGCGCGCAGGCGGUUCCUUAAGUCUGAUGUGAAAUCUCGCGGCUCAACCGCGAGCGGCCAUUGGAAACUGGGGAACUUGAGUGCAGGAGAGGGGAGCGGAAUUCCACGUGUAGCGGUGAAAUGCGUAGAGAUGUGGAGGAACACCAGUGGCGAAGGCGGCUCUCUGGCCUGUAACUGACGCUGAGGCGCGAAAGCGUGGGGAGCGAACAGGAUUAGAUACCCUGGUAGUCCACGCCGUAAACGAUGAGUGCUAAGUGUUAGAGGGUAUCCACCCUUUAGUGCUGCAGCAAACGCAUUAAGCACUCCGCCUGGGGAGUACGGCCGCAAGGCUGAAAGCUCAAAGGAAUUGACGG
rnacentral:rRNA from 1 species